ensembl:lncRNA
GUGGAAAAAUGUUGGCUUUUGCAAACACGGAGGUGUUCUAAUUAAGUCGUUCGCUGUUUGUAGAAUAUGUAGAAGCCAAAUAAAAAACACGGAAACACGACGAAUCUUUCCGGCGCCGUGGGAUUAAACAACGCCGACAAUCAGGCAUGUCUAGCAGCGUUACCGCUGCAGCAGAAGGAACUUGGUGUCUCAGGCUCUGCUCUCUUCCUUCUCUCGUCCUACCUCGACGGCCGCACCUACCGGGUGGCGGCACGGAUCUCUGGCUGUCUCUCUCAGUGGAUGUCCGCUCACCAUCUGAAAAUCAACCCCAACAAGACUGAACUACUACUCUUUCCGGGAAAAGAUUCUCCGACCCAGGACUUGAUGGUCAACUUGGGCAAUCAGUGUUAAUGCCCGCUUUGACUGCUAGGAACCUCGGCGUGACACUGGACAGCCAACUCUUCCUGACUGCAACAACAUGAUCCUGUAGAUACACACUCUACAACAUCAGGAGAAUAUGUCCCCUUCUCACUCAGAAGGCAGCGCAGGUACUGAUUCAGUACCUGCUAGCGCCAUUCAACCUCUGCAGUUCAUCCAGAUUGCAGCAGCUCGACUGGUCUUUCACCUUCCGAAAUUCUCCCACACUACCCCACUCCUCCGCUCUCUUUACUGGCUAGAUCACAACUCUUUGCUGUCCUUGCUCCGAAAUGGUGGAACGAGCUCUCCGAUGACACUAGGAUCGCAGAGAGCCUUCACAUCUUCUGCCACAAACUAAAGACACACCUCUUCAGACUCUGACUAAAAGACUAACAAAAAACACUACAUGGUUUAGGGCCAAAGUAUAUCACUGAUAUGCUUCCACUACAUAAGCCUUCAAGAUCACUAAGAUCUUCUGACACCAAUCUGUUAGUGAUUCCCAGAGUAAAUACAAAUCAUGGGAAAGCAUCAUUUAGUUACUACGCAACAAACAGCUGGAAUAAACUUCCUGAAGAUUUAAGACUUGCCCCAACUCUGACCACGUUUAAAACAAGACUGAAAACUUUUAUGUUCAGCUUCGCCUUCUGCAAAAUUUUACCUACAUUUUGCAUUUUAACCUC